rnacentral:lncRNA from 1 species
CUUUGGACUAGCUUUUUGGUGUUCCAUUUCACUGCAAGUAAAUGGACAUUGUAUAUUAUUAUUUAUUUAUUUUAUUAUUAUUUUAUAUAUAAAUAAUAGUUAUAAUUAAUUCAUCAUUAAUUAACAUAAUUUUUGUAAAAUGUAUAUGUUAGUUACGAGGGUAAGGGUGGCAAUUGGAUUAAGUUGGAUCGAAUACAGGCAGGACCAAUG